rnacentral:rRNA from 1 species
UACGUAGGGUGCGAGCGUUAAUCGGAAUUACUGGGCGUAAAGCGUGCGCAGGCGGUUCGUUGUGUCUGAUGUGAAAGCCCCGGGCUCAACCUGGGAAUGGCAUUGGAAACUGGCGAGCUGGAGUGUGGCAGAGGGGGGUGGAAUUCCGCGUGUAGCAGUGAAAUGCGUAGAGAUGUGGAGGAAUACCGAUGGCGAAGGCAGCCCCCUGGGAUAACACUGACGCUCAUGCACGAAAGCGUGGGGAGCAAACAGG